CCUACGGGGUGCAGCAGUAGGGAAUCUUCCACAAUGGGCGAAAGCCUGAUGGAGCAACGCCGCGUGGGUGAAGAAGGUCUUCGGAUCGUAAAACCCUGUUGUUAGAGAAGAAAGUGCGUGAGAGUAACUGUUCACGUUUCGACGGUAUCUAACCAGAAAGCCACGGCUAACUACGUGCCAGCAGCCGCGGUAAUACGUAGGUGGCAAGCGUUAUCCGGAUUUAUUUGGCGUAAAGGGAACGCAGGCGGUCUUUUAAGUCUGAUGUGAAAGCCUUCGGCUUAACCGGAGUAGUGCAUUGGAAACUGGGAGACUUGAGUGCAGAAGAGGAGAGUGGAACUCCAUGUGUAGCGGUGAAAUGCGUAGAUAUAUGGAAGAACACCAGUGGCGAAAGCGGCUCUCUGGUCUGUAACUGACGCUGAGGUUCGAAAGCGUGGGUAGCAAACAGGAUUAGAUACCCUAGUAGUC
rnacentral:rRNA from 1 species